rnacentral:rRNA from 1 species
UACGGGGGGUGCAAGCGUUAAUCGGAAUUACUGGGCGUAAAGGGCACGCAGGCGGUUAAUUAAGUCAGGUGUGAAAUCCCCGAGCUCAACUUGGGAACUGCAUUUGAGACUGGUUAGCUAGAGUCUUGUAGAGGGGGGUAGAAUUCCACGUGUAGCGGUGAAAUGCGUAGAGAUGUGGAGGAAUACCGGUGGCGAAGGCGGCCCCCUGGACAGAGACUGACGCUGAGGUGCGAAAGCGUGGGGAGCAAACAGG